GCGGUGUGAUUAACACAUGCAAGUCGUACGAAGUUUCGACCUAUUUAUAGAUCGAAAUGGCAGUGGCGGACGGGUGCGUAACGCGUAAGAACUUACCUUUUGGAGAGGGAUAACAAUUGGAAACGAUUGCUAAUACCUCGUACCGCUGAGGAGCGAAAUGGUGAAAACCGCCAAGAGAGAGGCUUGCGUCUGAUUAGCUUGUUGGCGAGGGUAAAGGCCUCCCAAGGCGACGAUCAGUAGCUGAUCUGAGAGGAUGAUCAGCCACACUGGGACUGAGACACGGCCCAGAUGUCUACGGAAAGCAGCAGUGAGGCAUCUUCCACAAUGGACGAAAGUCUGAUGGAGCAAUACCGCGUGGAGGAGGAAGGAUCGUGGUCUGUAAACUCCUUUUCUUAGUGAAGAAGUUUUGACGGUAACUAAGGAAUAAGCACCGGCUAACUCUGUGCCAGCAGCCGCGGUAACAC
rnacentral:rRNA from 1 species